UUAUUUUAUGUGUGAGUGUCCUGUCUGCCUGCUUACAUGAGCACCUACAUGGAGCCUACAAAACUCAGAAGAGGGCAUCAGAUCUCCUGGAACUAGAACUGGGGAUGGCUGUGAACCACCAUGUGGGUGUCAGGAAUUGAACUUGGGUCCUCUGGAAGAUGACAAGUGCUCCCAACCACUGAGUCAACUCUCCUGACACUUNNNNNNNNNNNNNNNNNNNNNNNNNNNNNNNNNNNGGAUAGAAAUCAGGGCCUCCUGCAUGCUAUGCAAGGGAUUUACAGCUGAGCCACAUCCCCAGAGUCUUCCUGGGGUGGAGAGGUGGAUUCUUGGCAAACACUCUACAUCCAGCGCUUCAUGGAGGAUUCUAGGCAAGUGCGCUAUCAUUGGACUCAUCUCCAGGCUAACGAGCCUAGGAGGUGGGUAUCCUACCUUCGUUUUAAAUGUAAAGUUGUGAAGAGCUGGGGAAAUCAAGGGUCUGCCCAGUCACAGCUAGGACUGUGGUGCAGCAGGGAGCCAGAGGCCAGGGUGCUCACCUUAAACUUAGAGCUUUUGACACGUGGAUGGAGCAUCUGUCUCUUUCCCCUAUACAUCAAAGAUGUGAAAACUGGCUCAGAUGCCAGGUCCAUAGAAAGUGUGUGGCCAGGCUGUGGCGAACCCUGCCUCACCCCUAUGUAUGUGUCAGGCCUAAGAACAAGCUUGAUUUCAGCACCACGGAUAGCUGCCGGCCUUUGGGCUGCUGAGCACAUCUUGGUGUAGUUGUUGCAGUUCCUUUAUUAACGCCUUUAUUGCUGUUUUCUGUGUGAGUGUGUGUGCUGUAUAUGCCUGUGGGGUGUGUGUACAUGUGUAGGGGGGUGUUGGUGCUCAAGUGCAUGGGUGCAGAGGUAGGAGGAGACAACAGCAUCCCGCUCUAUCACUGUUAUUUUCUUGAGUCAGAGUCUCUUACUGAACCUGGAGCUAAGAUGGCAGCCAGCAAGCCCCCGAGAACCUCUCUGCCACCCACAGUGCUGAACUGCUACUUCUUGUCUCCCAAGUGCUGGUAUUACAAGCAUGUGCCAGCACACCCAGUCUUUAAUGCUAUUGUCUGUACUUAGAGNCUUUUGGUUCAAUNCCCUUAUGAUGAAACAGGAGCUUCGUGCAAAAAACUGGGAGAGCCACACUGUAUUAGAGAUCACAAGGAUAACCAGCAACGACCCCGUUCUCAGGCUGGGAAUGAAUGUCACAUGGAUUAAACAUACGUUUGCCUA
rnacentral:lncRNA from 1 species